CCAGGUCGGUCCCUAUCUGCUGUGAGCGUUGCAAUAUUGACGGGAAAUGUCCUUAGUACGAGAGGAUUGGGACGGACGUACCCCUGGUGUGCCAGCUGGACCGCUCGGUCCACCGCUGGGUAGCUAAGUACGGCAGGGAUAACCACUGAAAGCAUCUAAGUGGGAAGCCUACCCGGAGAUGAGUAUUGCUUGAGACCCCCGGAAGACUACCGGGUUGAUAGGCCGGAUGUGUAAGAGCAGAAAUGCUUUCAGCUAACCGGUACUAACGGUCGAAGACUUGAUCGUAUCUAC
rnacentral:rRNA from 1 species